rnacentral:pre_miRNA from 1 species
GAGACACCCUUAUGGAGCAGGACUUGCUUCAGUGGGGCUUUGGUGCUCACUGAGUCUUCUCCUUGAGUGAGUCACU